AUCCUGGAGAGAUAAGGAAUUCAGACCACGAGGUGUUCUCUGCUCAGAUUAAUGUACAUCUUUUGUUUUUUGCAGAUCCAGGACCAAGACAUAUGUUUGAAGAAAAUGGGGAGAGGUACAAAAACAAAACACAAGGAAUAUGAUAUUUACUGUGUAUGGUUAUUGAGACAAAAAUCCCUGUAUUUGGAACACUAGGAAAAAAGGAAUAAGAAACAUGGAUCUCCAGUGCUUUAACAGCAUAUAAAUAAGUUGAAAAAGAAGCUCAGACUGAACUGAGAAUUGUACUGGAAUGAGAGAAGAGUGACUGUGCAGCACCAGUUUUUAAGUCCUGUUUCUGAAGAGUUUGAGUUUCUGAGGUUCUAUGAGCAGACGGGCCAGGAAAAAGGCUGGGACACCAAACAGCCCGUGGA